AUGCAGGGUGUAAGUAUACAGUCAUAUAUAUUUGUUGGUUAGUGACACUGUUCUGAAUAGACACUUGGCUUUUAUGACAGUUUUGAGACUAUGUUGUGACAGUUAUUUUGGCUUGAAAGCCUGGGUUUUUGACUGACUUUCAUUAAUCAAAUUUUACGAAAAAUCUUGAUCAAAAUUGAUCUGUUUCCUAUAUUUCUCACAAAAUUUUUCCAGUUGUUUAGUUCAGUGUAUUGUGUGUCAGCUGGGAUUGAUUAAUUUUCAUUUGGGUGUGCUGACACCCGGGAUACAGGAAAAUUUUUAAAAAAAGCAGUGAAUUACAUUGUUGUAAAGAAGCUUUGAAUCGAAUAUAGACAUUGGUGAAAUUGCAUCUGCAUAAAUAGUUAUUGCAAUAAACUUUUUAUGUGAAAAUGACAAGGGCAAAUGGAAAGAACAGAAGUGAGAAAUGGAUUCUGAAGAAGAAGCUAUUGUGUUAAAUUUGUGGACAGCAAAAGACACAGAUUGCCUGGUUUUUUAACAGGACCAAUAUGUUUGUUUAUUCUUCCAGGUUUAAUAUAAGAUCACAUUUAGAAAGAACUGACCAUUUUUGAUCACAUAGAACAUCAGUCGACAACAGAAUGCUGAUGGAUUAAAAGUAAUGACAUUGGAUUCCAAAAUAAAUGGCCCAGUGAAGAUUAAUAUGCUAAAUAAUAAACUUACUUAAAAUGUGAUUAAAAUAAACUUGAGAGAAGAGCAA